AUGUGAUGAGGACAUGAAUUAAGGAGCUUCCUAAAAUGCUCCCAAUACUCAUAAAGAGUUUCCAAAUCACCUUGAAUGAUGCAUGAGAUUUCUUUUCUCAACCU